rnacentral:rRNA from 1 species
GAUGAACGCUGGCGGCGUGCUUAACACAUGCAAGUCGAACGGAAAGGCCCUGCUCUUGUGGGGUGCUCGUGUGGCGAAGGGGUGAGUAUCACGUGAGUAAACUCCCCUUGACUUUGGGAUAACUUCAGGAAAAUGGGUCUAAUACCGGAUACGACAAAUUUCCGCAUGGGGUGUUGGAGGAAAGCGUGGUGUAGUGGUUAUAGAUGGGUUCACGGCCUAUCAGCUUGUUGGUGAGGUAACUGCUCACCAAGGAGACGGCGGGUAGCCGGCCUGAGUGGGUGACCGGCCACACUGGGUCUGAGACACGGCCCAGACUCCUACGGGAGGCAGCAGUGGGGAAUAUUGCACAAUGGGCGCAGGCCUGAUGCAGCGACGCCGCGUGUGGGAUGACGGCCUUCGGGUUGUAAACCUCUGUUAGCAGGGAAGAUGAGAGAUUGACGGUACCUUCAGAGAAAGCGCCGGCUUACUACGUG